UAGUCAUAUGCUUGUCUCAGAGAUUAAGCCAUGCAUGUCUCAGUACACACCUUAACACGGUGAAACCGCGAAUGGCUCAUUAAAUCAGCUUUGGUUCCUUGGAUCGUGCAUACUACAUGGAUAACUGUAGUAAUUCUAGAGCUAAUACAUGCCACUAUGCCCUGACCCGCAAGGGGAUGGGUGGAUUUAUUAGAACAGAACCAACCGGUGGUGAUUUUCACUGCUGUUGCAAUCUGUGAUGACUCUGGAUAACUUUACUGAUCGCAGUUGGCCUUGCGCCGGCGACGGAUCCUUCAAAUAUCUGCCCUAUCAAUUGUCGAUGGUAGGUGACCUGCCUACCAUGGUUAUAACGGGUAACGGGGAAUCAGGGUUCGAUUCCGGAGAGGGAGCCUGAGAAACGGCUACCACUUCCAAGGAAGGCAGCAGGCGCGCAAAUUACCCAAUCCCGGCACGGGGAGGUAGUGACGAAAAAUACGGAUACAGGACUCAUCUGAGGCUCUGUAAUUCGAAUGAGUACAAUUUAAAUCCUUUAACGAGGAUCAACUGGAGGGCAAGUCUGGUGCCAGCAGCCGCGGUAACUCCAGCUCCAGAAGCGUAUAUUAAAGUUGUUGCGGUUAAAAAGCUCGUAGUUGGAUCUGGGUCGCAUGGCCGCGUGCCGUUGCUUUCGACGAACAGUCGUGGCAUAUCGGUUUCGUGACUGUGUGGUCUUUCUGCCGUAUCUGUUUCGACAGGUGUCAGCUGGCCUCGUGUCGGUUGGCAUGCUUCCAGAUGCCUUUCAUCGGGUGUCGGUGGCGGACGGCACGUUUACUUUGAACAAAUUUGAGUGCUCAAAGCAGGCUUAUGCCUGAAAAUUCUUGCAUGGAAUAAUGGAAUAGGACUUCGGUUCUAUUUUGUUGGUUUUCGGAUCCGAAGUAAUGGUUAAGAGGGACAGACGGGGGCAUUUGUAUGGCGGUGUUAGAGGUGAAAUUCUUGGAUCGCCGCCAGACAAACUACAGCGAAAGCAUUUGCCAAGGAUGUUUUCAUUGAUCAUGAGCGAAAGUCAGAGGUUCGAAGACGAUCAGAUACCGUCCUAGUUCUGACCAUAAACGAUGCCAACUGACAAUCCGUGGGUGUUCUUUAAGUGGCCCCACGGGCAGUCCCCGGGAAACCCUUAAGUCUUUGGGCUCCGGGGGAAGUAUGGUUGCAAAGCUGAAACUUAAAGGAAUUGACGGAAGGGCACCACCAGGAGUGGAGCCUGCGGCUUAAUUCGACUCAACACGGGAAAAACUCACCCGGCCCGGACACUGUGAGGAUUGACAGAUUGAAAGCUCUUUCUUGAUUCGGUGGAUGGUGGUGCAUGGCCGUUCUUAGUUGGUGGAGCGAUUUGUCUGGUUAAUUCCGAUAACGAACGAGACUCUGGCCUGCUAAAUAGCACACCUGUCCUCUGCUUCCGUGCAGGUGGCGGUGCGGCUGCCUCUGAAUGGGGGUGGUUACGCCGUUCGCCGGCGGUUGCUGCGCGGGUGUUUGCUUCUUAGAGGGACAAGCGGCGCGAAAGUCGCACGAAAAUGAGCAAUAACAGGUCUGUGAUGCCCUUAGAUGUCCGGGGCCGCACGUGCGCUACAAUGAUGGUUCCAGCGAGUUUGGAAUCCUGGCCCGAAAGGGUUGGGCAAACUGUACCAAGACCAUCGUGACUGGGAUCGGGGCUUGCAAUUGUUCCCCGUGAACGAGGAAUUCCUGGUAAGUGCAAGUCAUAAGCUUGCGCUGAUUACGUCCCUGCCCUUUGUACACACCGCCCGUCGCUACUACCGAUUGAAUGGUUUAGCAAGGUCCUCGGAUUGGUGCCAUUGUAGUUGCUUCGGUGACUCGACCGGUGCUGAGAAGGCGACCAAACUUGAUCAUUUAGAGGAAGUAAAAGUCGUAACAAGGUUUCCGU
rnacentral:rRNA from 1 species